rnacentral:lncRNA from 1 species
GUGAAGACCUGUAAAGACCCACUUCUAUCCCUAGUCUUCAUAUUCCAGACACCUGUGGUCCUAGAUUGUAGGAAUGUCUUCCCACUGUAUUUUUAAUAAUGUAAUCUGCCCUAUUCUCUGAAACCCAAAACAAAAGUGUAAUUAUAAACCACACAGAAGAUAUGGCCCAGGCCUCUUUUCCAUUCUUUGACUCUAAACAGGGGCCAACUGCUCUAGCCAGAAAACAGUCCUGUCCUCAGAGAUCCAUGCCACCUCUAUGCCCUAAGCCUUCUGACUUUUGCCAAGGCUGGUUCCAACAUUCAUAACAGAGGCUGACUAUAUCCAGUCUUAAGCGGGGAAAAGCUAAAGAGUUGAAAUAGGAAGGAAAUGAAUAUAUCUAUCUCUUACAGCAGGCAAGAGCCUGUGUGCUUUCUGAUAUUUAUCUCAUUUCAUGAUCAACACAGCCCUGUAAAGAAAGAAUAAUUGCACGGGGCUGAAGGAGCACGUCCAGCAUCACAGAGUUACCAAGUGCGUUUGUCUGCAUAAGAACCCAGUUCAGAUGCCAAGUUCAACCGAACCACAUUGAAGGCCAUAGGCAGAGGAGACAUCCAUUCAGCAUGGAUCUGGAAUGGAUUUGAUCUGGACAGAAGUUUUGUGUGCUAGUGUUUAAACCCCAGAUCGUCCCAUUACCAACCCUAAAAUCACCAAGUUCUGGAAUCAAGUUCCCAUUUAAUACAGUCUCCUCUUCAAAAUGCAAAAAGGCAGUUAGCUACGGUGACACUUCUGGUCUGGAGUGACUCUACUAUUUUGAGUAAUUGCUUCUCAACCACUUAUAGGCCUGUUGGACUCAGUGAAUUGCAGGUUUUGUGCCACUCAGUGAACUGGCCCACUGUCACUUGGUUCGUGGAGAGGAAACUGAACAGAUAUUAAAGUUGGGCUGACCGGAGCUGAAUCCCAGCCCUCCCCAUGCUGCCUGCUGCCCGGCCUCCCGGCCCUGGAAAAUGGCAGGAGCUGAAUACAUCUUGGCUUCUUUUCAUACAAAGAGGAUAAGAAACCACAAUGACCAGCCCUGAAGGACAGUGGUGUAACUUUUCAGAGCCCCCACCUACAAGGCAUCCAGGACACCCUCAAAGUGAAAUGUGAAAGAGUCUGGCACCAUAAAAACUCCUGUAUCCCUGCUCCUCAGCCCCAGCACUCCGUCCCUCAGUGGAGACAGCUCUGGGAUCUGAGCCUCACUGAACUCAUCAUCAGCUGCCUUACCUCCCCCACCUGCAUGUUUGCUACCCAUUUCCUACUGCUCUGUAUUAC